UACGGGGGGGGGGCAAGCGUUUGUUCGGAAUUACUGGGCGUAAAGGGCUCGUAGGCGGCCAACUAAGUCGGACGUGAAAUCCCCAGGCUCAACCUGGGAACUGCGUCUGAUACUGGAUGGCUUGAAUCCGGGAGAGGGAUGCAGAAUUCCAGGUGUAGCGGUGAAAUGCGUAGAUAUCUGGAGGAAUACCGGUGGCGAAGGCGGCAUCCUGGACCGGCAUUGACGCUGAGGAGCGAAAGCCAGGGGAGCAAACGGG
rnacentral:rRNA from 1 species